AUUGAACGCUGGCGGCAGGCCUAACACAUGCAAGUCGAACGGUAGCACAGAGAGCUUGCUCUCGGGUGACGAGUGGCGGACGGGUGAGUAAUGUCUGGGAAACUGCCUGAUGGAGGGGGAUAACUACUGGAAACGGUAGCUAAUACCGCAUAACGUCGCAAGACCAAAGAGGGGGACCUUCGGGCCUCUUGCCAUCAGAUGUGCCCAGAUGGGAUUAGCUAGUAGGUGGGGUAACGGCGCACCUAGGCGACGAUCCCUAGCUGGUCUGAGAGGAUGAACAGCCACACAGGAGCUGAGACACCGUCCAGACUCCUACGGGGGGCAGCGGUGGGGGAUAUUGUAAAAUGGGCGCAAGACUGAUGCAGCCAUGCCGCGUGUAUGAAGAAGGCCUUCGGGUUGUACAGUACUUUCAGCGGGGAGGUAGGCGAUAAGGUUAAUAACCUUGUCGAUCGACGUUACCCGCAGAAGAAGCGCCGGCUAACUCCGUGCCAGACGCCGCCGUAA
rnacentral:rRNA from 1 species